AACGAACGCUGGCGGCAGGCCUAACACAUGCAAGUCGAGCGAACCCUUCGGGGUUAGCGGCGGACGGGUUAGUAACGCGUGGGAAUAUACCCUUUGGUACGGAAUAGCCUCGGGAAACUGAGAGUAAUACCGUAUGUGCCCUUCGGGGGAAAGAUUUAUCGCCAAAGGAUUAGCCCGCGUUGGAUUAGAUAGUUGGUGGGGUAAUGGCCUACCAAGUCUACGAUCCAUAGCUGGUUUGAGAGGAUGAUCAGCAACACUGGGACUGAGACACGGCCCAGACUCCUACGGGAGGCAGCAGUGGGGAAUCUUAGACAAUGGGCGCAAGCCUGAUCUAGCCAUGCCGCGUGGACGAUGAAGGCCUUAGGGUUGUAAAGUCCUUUCAGAUGGGAAGAUAAUGACGGUACCAUCAGAGAAGCCCGCGUAACUACCGUGCCAGC
rnacentral:rRNA from 1 species